UUUAGGAUGUGAAAUUGCAGCUAUAGC
rnacentral:piRNA from 1 species